rnacentral:rRNA from 1 species
UGGGGAAUAUUGGACAAUGGGCGAAAGCCUGAUCCAGCCAUGCCGCGUGUGUGAAGAAGGUCUUCGGAUUGUAAAGCACUUUAAGUUGGGAGGAAGGGCAGUAAGUUAAUACCUUGCUGUUUUGACGUUACCAACAGAAUAAGCACCGGCUAACUUCGUGCCAGCAGCCGCGGUAAUACGAAGGGUGCAAGCGUUAAUCGGAAUUACUGGGCGUAAAGCGCGCGUAGGUGGUUCAGCAAGUUGGAUGUGAAAUCCCCGGGCUCAACCUGGGAACUGCAUCCAAAACUACUGAGCUAGAGUACGGUAGAGGGUGGUGGAAUUUCCUGUGUAGCGGUGAAAUGCGUAGAUAUAGGAAGGAACACCAGUGGCGAAGGCGACCACCUGGACUGAUACUGACACUGAGGUGCGAAAGCGUGGGGAGCAAACAGGAUUAGAUAUCCUGGUAGUCCACGCCGUAAACGAUGUCGACUAGCCGUUGGGAUCCUUGAGAUCUUAGUGGCGCAGCUAACGCGAUAAGUCGACCGCCUGGGGAGUACGGCCGCAAGGUUA